GCCCAGCACCGAAUCCUUCACCGUAUUGGUGACAGGAAAUGUGGUGUUUAGGCCGUACCUUGUGCUGAUACGUCUCUCCUCAAGUCCACUUGAUUGUGGCCUCAGGCCCAGAGAGGGUGUAAGGCCCGUGGAGGCGAGAUGUUCAGUACCCGGUGCGUCCUUAGAGUCGGGUUGUUUGGGAAUGCAGCCCUAAGCGGGUGGUAAACUCCAUCCAAGGCUAAAUACUAGCACGAGUCCGAUAGCGAAGAAGUACCGCGAGGGAAAGUUGAAAAGAACUUUGAAGAGAGAGUUCAAGAGUACGUGAAACCGCUGAGAGGCAAACUGGUGGAGCUGAAAUGGCUUAGAGGAAUUCAGCCGUUGGGUAUUGUCAUAACUGUGUUGUGUCUGAUCUAACGACAGCGCGGCCGGUUAACGUCGAUUCCAUAGGUGCACUUUCCUCUCUAGCCCAACCACGACCGGUAUAGUGUGAUUGUCCGUCUCAUCUGGAAGGUAGCGCUGGCUACGGUGAGCGUAUUAUAGACAGAUGUAUGGAGCGAUUCGUGUACUGGAACAUAACGCCUGCCCUCAUUGGGCUCAUAUGUUGGUUGUUUUGUGAAUAAUCUCUGAUUUCACUACUUCGGUAGAGGAGUUGGAAUUGUUUGCCUUACGAUCGGCCUCUAUGAUUGGCGUUGAUACAGUCUGUGGUUGCGAAGUAGGUAGUCCACCUGACCCGUCUUGAAACACGGACCAAGGAGUCUAACAUGUGCGCGAG
rnacentral:rRNA from 1 species